rnacentral:rRNA from 1 species
UACGGGGGGUGCAAGCGUUGCUCGGAAUUAUUGGGCGUAAAGGGUAGGUAGGUGGUCUUAUUUGUCAGGGGUGAAAUCCUUGGGCUUAACUCAAGAAGUGCCCCUGAAACGGUAAGACUAGAAUCUUGGAGAGGUGAGCGGAAUUCCCGGUGUAGCGGUGAAAUGCGUAGAGAUCGGGAGGAAUACCAGCGGCGAAGGCGGCUCACUGGACAAGUAUUGACACUCAACUACGAAAGCGUGGGGAGCAAACAGG